GAUGAACGCUGGCGGCGUGCCUAAUACAUGCAAGUCGAGCGAACGGACGAGAAGCUUGCUUCUCUGAUGUUAGCGGCGGACGGGUGAGUAACACGUGGAUAACCUACCUAUAAGACUGGGAUAACUUCGGGAAACCGGAGCUAAUACCGGAUAAUAUUUUGAACCGCAUGGUUCAAAAGUGAAAGACGGUCUUGCUGUCACUUAUAGAUGGAUCCGCGCUGCAUUAGCUAGUUGGUAAGGUAACGGCUUACCAAGGCAACGAUGCAUAGCCGACCUGAGAGGGUGAUCGGCCACACUGGAACUGAGACACGGUCCAGACUCCUACGGGAGGCAGCAGUAGGGAAUCUUCCGCAAUGGGCGAAAGCCUGACGGAGCAACGCCGCGUGAGUGAUGAAGGUCUUCGGAUCGUAAAACUCUGUUAUUAGGGAAGAACAUAUGUGUAAGUAACUGUGCACAUCUUGACGGUACCUAAUCAGAAAGCCACGGCUAACUACGUGCCAGCAGCCGCGGUAAUACGUAGGUGGCAAGCGUUAUCCGGAAUUAUUGGGCGUAAAGCGCGCGUAGGCGGUUUUUUAAGUCUGAUGUGAAAGCCCACGGCUCAACCGUGGAGGGUCAUUGGAACCUGGAAAACUUGAGUGCAGAAGAGGAAAGUGGAAUUCCAUGUGUAGCGGUGAAAUGCGCAGAGAUAUGGAGGAACACCAGUGGCGAAGGCGACUUUCUGGUCUGUAACUGACGCUGAUGUGCGAAAGCGUGGGGAUCAAACAGGAUUAGAUACCCUGGUAGUCCACGCCGUAAACGAUGAGUGCUAAGUGUUAGGGGGUUUCCGCCCCUUAGUGCUGCAGCUAACGCAUUAAGCACUCCGCCUGGGGAGUACGACCGCAAGGUUGAAACUCAAAGGAAUUGACGGGGACCCGCACAAGCGGUGGAGCAUGUGGUUUAAUUCGAAGCAACGCGAAGAACCUUACCAAAUCUUGACAUCCUUUGACAACUCUAGAGAUAGAGCCUUCCCCUUCGGGGGACAAAGUGACAGGUGGUGCAUGGUUGUCGUCAGCUCGUGUCGUGAGAUGUUGGGUUAAGUCCCGCAACGAGCGCAACCCUUAAGCUUAGUUGCCAUCAUUAAGUUGGGCACUCUAAGUUGACUGCCGGUGACAAACCGGAGGAAGGUGGGGAUGACGUCAAAUCAUCAUGCCCCUUAUGAUUUGGGCUACACACGUGCUACAAUGGACAAUACAAAGGGCAGCGAAACCGCGAGGUCAAGCAAAUCCCAUAAAGUUGUUCUCAGUUCGGAUUGUAGUCUGCAACUCGACUACAUGAAGCUGGAAUCGCUAGUAAUCGUAGAUCAGCAUGCUACGGUGAAUACGUUCCCGGGUCU
rnacentral:rRNA from 1 species